ensembl:lncRNA
AGGUCUUAGAGUUACUCACCUUUCUUUAUCUUUGGUUGAUAAAAAGCAUAGCAGCACCCUCAACAGUGUUUCUACCAGAGCAUGUUAUCCAGAGGUAUAAAAAGGUCCUGCAGUACAUCGAUAAGGGAGUCACCAAAACCCUGGCUUACCGCAAGUGUGGGAUUGACCGAAAAACCAUUGUUGACACUGCAGCAAUAGCGGAGCUGGAGGCGUGUGACACUGAAGCCUACAAGACCUUGCGUGAAAAUUUUCAUAGAGGGCAAAAACUGUCACAAUUUGCAGAGAAAUGCAGGGAAAUUUGCAAAAAGAGCCACUUCAAACUUUGAUUGAAGAUAAAAAGAAAAAUGGCCAGCUAAUUGACCUCUGUCACAGACAAAAAUAACUUUUGUUCACAUGUGUGUGUUGGCAAGGUUGAAGUUCAGGCAUCGAGACGUUUUAUAGUUUUUAUAGUCAGUUUUUUUUUUUAUUUGGUCUAACAGGUUUGGACUUAAAACAAUGUUUUCUUUUUUU